rnacentral:rRNA from 1 species
AAAUUGAAGAGUUUGAUCAUGGCUCAGAUUGAACGUUGGCGGCAGGCCUGAUACAUGCAAGUCGAACGGUAACAGCGGAGCUUGCUCCGGCUGACGAGUGGCGGACGGGUGAGUAACGCGUAGGAAUCUACCCAGUAGCGGGGGACAGCCCGAGGAAACUCGGAUUAAUACCGCAUACGCCCUAAUGGGGA